GAAAGCCUGAUGCAGCGACGCCGCGUGAGGGAUGACGGCCUUCGGGUUGUAAACCUCUUUCAGCAGGGACGAAGCGCAAGUGACGGUACCUGCAGAAGAAGCACCUUGGGGCUAACUACGUGCCAGCAGCCGCGGUAAUACGUAGGGUGCAAGCGUUGUCCGGAAUUACUGGGCGUAAAGAGUUCGUAGGCGGUUUGUCGCGUCGUUUGUGAAAACCAGCAGCUCAACUGCUGGCUUGCAGGCGAUACGGGCAGACUUGAGUACUGCAGGGGAGACUGGAAUUCCUGGUGUAGCGGUGAAAUGCGCAGAUAUCAGGAGGAACACCGGUGGCGAAGGCGGGUCUCUGGGCAGUAACUGACGCUGAGGAACGAAAGCGUGGGUAGCGAACAGGAUUAGAUACCCUGGUAGUCCACGCCGUAAACGGUGGGCGCUAGGUGUGGGUUCCUUCCACGGAAUCCGUGCCGUAGCUAACGCAUUAAGCGCCCCGCCUGGGGAGUACGGCCGC
rnacentral:rRNA from 1 species